CGCNAAGAACCUUACCAGGUCUUGACAUCCUUUGACCACUCUAGAGAUAGAGCUUCCCCUUCGGGGGCAAAGUGACAGGUGGUGCAUGGUUGUCGUCAGCUCGUGUCGUGAGAUGUUGGGUUAAGUCCCGCAACGAGCGCAACCCUUAUUGUUAGUUGCCAUCAUUCAGUUGGGCACUCUAGCAAGACUGCCGGUGACAAACCGGAGGAAGGUGGGGAUGACGUCAAAUCAUCAUGCCCCUUAUGACCUGGGCUACACACGUGCUACAAUGGGAAGUACAACGAGCUGCGAAGUCGCGAGGCUAAGCUAAUCUCUUAAAGCUUCUCUCAGUUCGGAUUGCAGGCUGCAACUCGCCUGCAUGAAGCCGGAAUCGCUAGUAAUCGCGGAUCAGCACGCCACGGUGAAUACGUUCCCGGGUCUUGUACACACC
rnacentral:rRNA from 1 species